GAUGAACGCUGGCGGUGUGCCUUAGGCAUGCAAGUCGAGCGGGCCUCGCAAGAGGUCAGCGGCGGACGGGUGAGUAACACGUAGGAAUCUACCCUUUGAUUAAGGAUAGCUCGUCGAAAGACGGGGUAAUCCUGUAUAAGUCCCGAGAGCAAUCGAGGGAGAAAGCGAGUAACUUCGCGUCGAAGGAUGAGCCUGCGCCCUAUCAGCUAGUUGGUGGGGUAAAGGCCUACCAAGGCGACGAUCCAUAGCUGGUCUGAGAGGAUGAUCAGCCACAUUGGGACUGAGACACGGCCCAAACUCCUACGGGAGGCAGCAGUGGGGAAUAUUGGACAAUGGGCGCAAGCCUGAUCCAGCCAUGCCGCGUGAGUGAUGAAGGCCUUAGGGUUGUAAAGCUCUUUCACCGAUGAAGAUAAUGACGGUAGUCGGAGAAGAAGCCCCGGCUAACUUCGUGCCAGCCGCCGCGGUAA
rnacentral:rRNA from 1 species